UACGGAGGAUGCGAGCGUUAUCCGGAUUUAUUGGGCUUAAAGGGUGCGUAGGCGGCUUUUUAAGUCAGCGGUGAAAUUUUGCAGCUUAACUGUAACAGUGCCGUUGAUACUGGGGAGCUAGGAUUUGGUUGCUGUGGGUGGAAUGUGUGGUGUAGCGGUGAAAUGCUUAGAGAUCACACAGAAUAUCGAUUGCGAAGGCAGCUCACAAAGCCAAGAUUGACGCUGAGGCACGAAAGUGUGGGGAUCAAACAGGA
rnacentral:rRNA from 1 species